rnacentral:misc_RNA from 1 species
AAUAAAAAGCAGUUCCUCAGUAGAACUUGAGAACCUGUGAUACAAAUAACCUCGAACCAGAAACAAGGACACAGAAAUUUAUUUCAGACACUCAAAUGGAAAUAUAACUAAGUUUGUAAAUCAAAUUGUUAAUAAAUUGAAUUGACAGUAACUGAGAUAUUAAUUGUGUCCUACGGAACUAUAGUUUAAUUGAAGCAUCACUAAUUAACAAAACUUUUCCGCCAUGAUGUAUGGAUCAAUAAAAUGUGAAUACAGCCCCUGCAAUUCAAAUAGCUUCUUUAGCUAAUAUAUACUAUCAAGCAUCAAAUUUCCCAAAUAUUAAAAUAGCCAUUGAAAACAGAAUUCAUUGUCUAUCUUUCAGCAUUAAAUUGUCAAAACCAUAAAAAUAAUAAUAACAAGCGACAGAAGCAGAUUGUUAGUAUUCCUGUCCUAAAAGCUUCAUGGUGUCAAGUUUUUCGCAAUGUUCUCUACUCCAUAGGUCUUAGCCAAAAAGAAGUUACGCUGGCAACUAUUCAAGCCUGCCUUAGCAGUUAGUAUAUUAAAAGCUCUGCCUUUUCUAUCAACCAGUAAUAAAUUAUUUUUUAAAUAAAUUUAGCGUGAAACCUAGAUUAACAUGAAAGGGUAAUGAUUCACAAAACAACAGAACAAGUUGCAUGAGCCAACUUCCAAAAAACGGUGAUUGAAGGUGAUCCUAAAAUCACAACAACAAUAAAGAAAUCAAUAUUCCAAAAUCAACUAACACCAAAAAUUCACUAUAAGGAUAAUGCUUCUGUGCAGGAAAAUGCAAAGUCAUGAUCAAUCCUUAUUUAUUUCAUAUUACAAAAAGGAUAGCCAUUAUCCAUAAAAAACAUAUGCAUGCAAACUUGGCAUCCCUUCUAUACCAUUCUUGUAUCUCAAUAACACUCAUAAAAAAAACUACAUAACUUGUCUAAUACAGAAAGCCAUAAUUUACAAGAACAUCCUAUAGAACUCUC